rnacentral:rRNA from 1 species
AACGAACGCUGGCGGCAUGCCUAACACAUGCAAGUCGAACGAGACCUUCGGGUCUAGUGGCGCACGGGUGCGUAACGCGUGUGAACCUGCCCUUAGGUUCGGAAUAACUCCCCGAAAGGGGUGCUAAUACCGGAUAAUGUCUUCGGACCAAAGAUUUAUCGCCUUUGGAUGGGCCCGCGUUGGAUUAGCUAGUUGGUAGGGUAAAAGCCUACCAAGGCGACGAUCCAUAGCUGGUCUGAGAGGAUGAUCAGCCACACUGGGACUGAGACACGGCCCAGACUCCUACGGGAGGCAGCAGUGGGGGAUAUUGGACAAUGGGCGAAAGCCUGAUCCAGCAAUGCCGGGUGAGUGAUGAAGGCCUUAGGGUUGUAAAGCUCUUUUACCCGGGAUGAUAAUGACAGUACCGGGAGAAUAAGCUCCGGCUAACUCCGUG